GGGGUAUUAGCUCAGUUGGUAGAGCAGCUGACUCUUAAUCAGCGGGUCGGGGGUUCGAAUCCCUCAUGCCCCA
rnacentral:tRNA from 3 species